ensembl:misc_RNA Metazoa_SRP Metazoan signal recognition particle RNA
GCUAGGUGCAGUGACACAUGCCUGUAGUCCCAGCUACUCUGUAGGCUGAGGUGGGAAGAUCACUGGAGCCCAGGAGUUCUGGGCUGUGCGCUAUGCUGAUUAGGUGUCCACACUAAGUUCUGCAUCAAUAUGGUGACCUCCUGGGAGCAGGGGACUACCAGGUUGCCCAAGGAGGGGCGAACCCACCCAGGUCGGAAAGUAGAAGGAUUGUGUCUCUAGGCCUCAGACUCCUUUGCAUUUUUCUGUCCUCACCCUGCACAUAGUGAAAAUCAUAAACCCACAUUAU